AUUGUGUUUUCUUCUAGGAAAAUUCCACAGGUAAUGUUUUGGUAUAUAAUCAAUAACAAUGCAAGUAGUGGAAAUCUUCAAAUAACCAGAUAUUUUCUUUAUUCUCAGAUUUGAGGAAAACAAUCAACUCGAUGAAGAGGAAGGAGGAAGAGAAGCUGAACACCUAGGAAAAAACAGAGAAACAAAAACCAGCCUCUUAGUACUUCCUGUUGACGUUGGUGGGGGCCAGCCCAGCUUCCCACAUGAUCGCAUCUUCUUGUAACUCUCUUAUUGUACAACUUGAGACACCGAGAUCCUCAGCUAGCCAGACUUGAAAGCAAAAGUGUCACCUUGAGGACCCAGCCAGGACCCUGUCUCCAGGGAGCAGGGAGCACAGAACCAGAGGGUGGCUGCCAUCUUCUCCUUCCAAGCUGCUCUGCGGCCAGUGUCCUGGGAGGAGCCCGGUGGGGCUUCAGUGGCCCCGCAGUCAGCGCUCGGGCAAGCUUCUCAGUCUUCUUUGGCCUUGAUUUCCUCCUCUGUACAAUGAGAUUUUUAGAAAAGGGAAUGAUGGCUAUUAUUUUGAUUUAUUUCUCUUUAAUUAUAAAUUUCAUAAUUCUAUUUAAUACAAAAGCAACACAUAUUCAAUGUGGGAAAUACAGGAAAUAUGGGUUUUUUUAAAAAAAAAAGAAGACAAAAUCAGACUCCUUCAGAGUCCCACUCACAGAGUGCUCGUUGUCAGCAUCUCAGAGAACAUCUUCCCUCGCCUCUCCCUGUGCAUCACAUCCGUGCAUCAGAAAGGUGAUGGUGCUCCUUCCAAGCUCGCUUUGUGAAUUCAAAACCACACUGUUAACAUGUUUCCAUUUCAUCAAAUCUUCUCCUCCAACGCCAUCCCGAGGCCACACAGCGCUCCUCCGUAGGGGUGUGCCAUGGCUCAUUUCCACCCUCGUUACUUUACAUUCAGGUUAUUUCUGACUUUUCACUCUUAUAAACAAAGCUGUAAUGAACAUCCUUCCAGCUAAAUAUUUGCACAGAUUCAUAAUUAUUUCCUUAGGGUGAUGUUUUGGAAGGAAAUUGCUGGAUUAAAGUGCAUGGAUAAUUGUAUGGCGUAUGUGUGUUUUUUUAAGGCCAAGUUGGAAAGAACACUUUAGAAAGUCAAUACUGUUUCCAAACAGACAAGACUGGCUCAUUCCUUAGAACAUCCUUCUCCGGAGAGGGUCAGGGGC
rnacentral:lncRNA from 1 species